rnacentral:rRNA from 1 species
UACGUAGGGUGCAAGCGUUGUCCGGAAUUAUUGGGCGUAAAGAGCUCGUAGGCGGUUUGUUGCGUCGGCUGUGAAAUCCCGAGGCUCAACCUCGGGUCUGCAGUCGAUACGAGCAAACUAGAGUGUUGCAGGGGAGACUGGAAUUCCUGGUGUAGCGGUGGAAAUGCGCAGAUAUCAGGAGGAACACCGGUGGCGAAGGCGGGUCUCUGGGACGGUACUGACGCUGAGACGCGAAAGCGUGAGGAGCGAACAGG